rnacentral:rRNA from 1 species
AUUGAACGCUGGCGGCAGGCUUAAUACAUGCAAGUCGAGGGGUAGCAAGAUUGUAGCAAUACAAUUGUUGGCGACCGGCAAACGGGUGCGGAACACGUACACAACCUUCCUACAAGUGGGGAAUAGCCCAGAGAAAUUUGGAUUAAUACCCCGUAACAUAGCGAUGUGGCAUCACAUUGCUAUUAUAGCUUCGGCGCUUGUUGAUGGGUGUGCGGCUGAUUAGAUAGUUGGCGGGGUAACGGCCCACCAAGUCUACGAUCAGUAGCUGAUGUGAGAGCAUGAUCAGCCUCACGGGCACUGGGACACGGGCCCGACUCCUACGGGAGGCAGCAGUAAGGAAUAUUGGACAAUGGACGCAAGUCUGAUCCAGCCAUGCCGCGUGAAGGAUUAAGGUCCUCUGGAUUGUAAACUUCUUUUAUAAGGGACGAAAAAAGGUCUUUCUAGAUCGUCUGACGGUACCUUAUGAAUAAGCACCGGCUAACUCCGUGCCAGCCGCCGCCGUAAAAC